GGCAUUUGAAAACUUUAGAAAGGCAGGGCAGGAUGGAUAUAGGUCUGUAACAGUUUGGGUCUAGAGGCAGGGCAGGAUGGAUAUAGGUCUGUAACAGUUUGGGUCUAGAGGCAGGGCAGGAUGGAUAUAGGUCUGUAACAGUUUGGGUCUAGAGGCAGGGCAGGAUGGAUAUAGGUCUGUAACAGUUUGGGUCUAGAGGCAGGGCAGGAUGGAUAUAGGUCUGUAACAGUUUGGGUCUAGAGGCAGGGCAGGGUGGAUAUAGGUCUGUAGCAGUUUGGGUCUAGAGGCAGGGCAGGAUGGAUAUAGGUCUGUAACAGUUUGGGUCUAGAGGCAGGGCAGGAUGGAUAUAGGUCUGUAACAGUUUGGGUCUAGAGGCAGGGCAGGAUGGAUAUAGGUCUGUAACAGUUUGGGUCUAGAGGCAGGGCAGGAUGGAUAUAGGUCUGUAGCAGUUUGGGUCUAGAGUGUCUCCCCCUUUGAAGAUGGGGAUGACCGUGG
ensembl:lncRNA